AAGUUAUCACGAUCGGAAACUAUUCUGGAAUAUUUUGCCGCUGUUGACAUUCCGCGGUAGUUACGUACGGUAGUUACACUUGUUGCGAUUUCGGGGCUAACUAUGAUGGAUAAACAAUUAGUUUAGAUUUUAAUGGAAAUCUCUUCAUCGUGUGAUACAAUCUGGUUUAUUUAUCGAUUCACUUAUACACUUUUUGAAUAAUGGAAACAUUUUAUUUGAGUAUUCUACGAGUAGUUUAGUAUCGUAGAUAAUUUCUCGUGAUUCGAACCGCCAUUUGUCAUUUUGUUUUCCGAGCACCGGGGUUUUUAUCGCUUCGAUUUGAAUAAUUUGUUAAUUUCUUUGAUUUUUCUUUUGAUGUUACGUUAAUGGAUAAUUUGUAAUGCAAAUUUCAUAUUAAUAUUACAAUGACCGAGUUUCUAGAAUUUAAUGUACGGAGACUUGUAACCUGGAAGAAUCGACAAAACAAAGCCUACUGUUUCAGUAAAAAGAAUUUUUUGUAUUUUAUAUUCAUGAUGACGAUUUAGUUUGAAUUAGCUUCAAGAUAGUUUAACGCUAGGUUUACGGAACACGUCAAUUUGAAGCGUAUUGAAUUUUAUAAAUAUUAUUCAGACCAAUGGUAUAAAGUGCACAGUAAAUGCCCGUAAGCCUAGUGUUAAAGUGAUAUAUAAUUACCGAAAAGUCGAAAAUACGAGAGAACGAUAAGAUAGAUGAAAUGUUUGUGAAGUACAAUAUUUUUGCAUUGUUUCAAAAGAAAAUGAAGGGAAGAAUGACAAAUAGGAGAAGCGACGAAAGUUCCUCUGGCAAUUCAGAAUGAUAGAUACAAAAUUUCUGUAGAAAGACUUUUCACGCUAUU